UCUGGUAGCCCCAUGAUCCGCAAUGAAGGAUUCCAAGUUAUUCGCUCCUGGGGCACAAGCUGUGGUGAGAAAUGGAAAACUGGUGUCUACAGCAAAGUGUGCAACUACCUGGACUGGAUUCAGCAGACCACUAAUGCCAACUAAGCAUUUUUCCUGAGGUACCCUCUCAUAGACAACUUCACUUCUGUACUGAAUCCGAGAUGGUUAUGGAAAUAAAAACAUUGUAUUCUGCCACA
rnacentral:lncRNA from 1 species